GGAAAACUAAUUCAAGAGUUUAUUAUCAUGGACAAGCUGAAAAAACCAACAAAACUGACACUUUGGGAGGAUUUUAUUGAUCAUGAGGGAGUUAAACUUUUCAACCAACUUCAUGAUUACCCGAUCAUUCUUGCUAGGAAAAUUAGGAAAUCAUCCUCAGAUUCGUUGGUUUGACGAGCAAAUUCAAUACAACAAUUGAAAUCAAUCCUCCAUAUCCAUAGGCUGCUGAGUUAAGGACGAUCAAAACAAUUGAAGCAAAGCUUGUUUCUUAUAAGAUGAAAAGUACAACUCCAAUAGGC